rnacentral:rRNA from 1 species
UACGAAGGGGACUAGCGUUGUUCGGAAUUACUGGGCGUCAAGCGCACGUAGGCGGCUUUGUAAGUCGGAGGUGAAAGCCCGGAGCUCAACUUCGGAAUAGCCUUUGAGACUGCAUCGCUUGAAUCCGGGAGAGGUGAGUGGAAUUCCGAGUGUAGAGGUGAAAUUCGUAGAUAUUCGGAAGAACACCAGUGGCGAAGGCGGCUCACUGGACCGGCAUUGACGCUGAGGUGCGAAAGCGUGGGGAGCAAACAGG